AUUGAACGCUGGCGGCAGGCCUAACACAUGCAAGUCGAGCGGGGUUUUCGGACCUAGCGGCGGACGGGUGAGUAAUGCGUAGGAAGCUGCCCGAUAGAGGGGGAUACCAGUUGGAAACGACUGUUAAUACCGCAUAAUGCCUACGGACCAAAGUGUGGGACCUUCGGGCCACAGGCCAUCGGAUGCGCCUACGUGGGAUUAGCUAGUUGGUGAGGUAAUGGCUCACCAAGGCGACGAUCUCUAGCUGGUUUGAGAGGAUGGUCAGCCACACUGGAACUGAGACACGGUCCAGACUCCUACGGGAGGCAGCAGUGGGGAAUAUUGGACAAUGGGCGCAAGCCUGAUCCAGCCAUGCCGCGUGUGUGAAGAAGGCCUCGGGUUGUAAAGCACUUUCAGCGAGGAGGAAGGGGUGUGUGUUAAUAGUACACACCUUUGACGUUACUCGCAGAAGAAGCACCGGCUAACUCUGUGCCAGCAGCCGCCGUAAAAC
rnacentral:rRNA from 1 species